GAGGAACGCAUAGGCGGCCCUCAUGGUGAUGGCGUAAUCGCCGGCGAGGCGGCCCGGAUCGGCGGCGCGCUCCAAGGUGUCCAGUUCUGCGCCGCGCGUGGCGACCGUAUCCCGGAUGAACCCGAUCGCCCUGUCGUAUUCGACGCGCAGCGGGUCGUCGGCGGGCAGUGCGUCGCGCUCGUCGGCCAGCUGCGCGAUCCUGUCGUUGCCCUGUUCGACGAUAGAGGCCACCGGCGCCGCCUGGCCCUGAAUCACGGCCGCGGCGCCGCGCGCAGCCUCGUCCGUAAAGCGAUCAAACGUGGGCUGCGCCGCGGCGGCAUAGUAGGGCUGUGGCGUGUCGGCGGUCGACACGCCGGCCUGCUGGCGCAGAUCGACCAGCGCCAAGAGACCCAUCGUAUACCAGCCGGUGGCGCUCAUGGCAUCGGCCACCGCCGUGCCGGCCGUGGUGAUUGCCACGGCGCCGAGGGCCUGCUGGAGGUCGCUCACCUGGUUGAGGAAGCGCCGUUCGGUCUCGACGACCUGUGCCUCGGCGCGCACGGCGCGCUCGAUCGCGUCGGCGAGCGCACGACGCAGAUCGACGACUUCGGCCUCUAGCCGCUGGUAGGUGGUGGUCUCACGGAUCUGGGCCUCGGUGAGGGCGAGGGCGCCUCCGCGCAGCGCCAUGUAGGCCCGGUAGCGCGGGUCAUUCUCGACGUUGCCAAACUCGCUCUCGGCCAACUGGCGUUCGAGUGCGUUCAUCUGGGUCCUGAGCCGUCGGCGCUCGGCGUCGGUGCGCGCGAGGUCGGCGCGCAACCUCUCGGCAUCGGCCGUCACUUCGGCCAGGCGCAAAUUCACCUGACUUUCGGCGAGCACGCGCGCGCGGUCGAGUGACAGGCGCUCGCGCACGUCGGCGGGCAGCGCCUCUAGAACGGCCUCGGGCAGGAAUCGCGGCGUGCCCGACAUCUCCUCUUGCGUGGCGCCCUCCAGCAGCAGUUGCUCGGCGCCAGGCUGUUCUUCCUCUUCCAUGCCGACGGCGGGCGAGGUUUCAACUUCUUCGCGCCGUCGCCGCCUCGUGGGGCGUUGCUCCUCGGCCUCCAUUCUUUUUUUUUUUCCUUUGCUUUUUUUUAAUCACUCGGCCGUCCUCUGUGCCUGUGCUCUCGUCUAUACACACGCCCGUUCCUCUUUCCGGUUCGUCUUGGGUCCUUUUCUUCUCCUUCCUUUUCUCUCUCUCUCUCUCUCUCUCUCUCUCU
rnacentral:lncRNA from 1 species